UCAUUUUGUCCACGCCUCAUUCUUUUCACAACCCUAGUUUAAAUUCACUGAUACUGGCUGAAGAAUUUUCUCUCCACUACUCCACCGUGGAUAAUGAUAUACAAGCCAUUCUACUGGCCGGUGUUCAUGUCUGUGACGCGUUCAAACUGCUGCCUAUCCAUCCGUCGCUCUGGCAUAUCCAUGGCAUUAAAUGGAGGAAAAAUGAUUAUUUCAACACCAGACUCACUUUUAGCUCCAG